rnacentral:rRNA from 1 species
UACGGAGGGUGCAAGCGUUAUCCGGAUUCACUGGGUUUAAAGGGUGCGUAGGUGGGCAGGUAAGUCAGUGGUGAAAUCUCUGGGCUUAACCCGGAAACUGCCGUUGAUACUAUCUGUCUUGAAUGUAGUGGAGGUGAGCGGAAUAUGUCAUGUAGCGGUGAAAUGCUUAGAUAUGACAUAGAACACCCAUUGCGAAGGCAGCUCGCUACACUAUUAUUGACACUGAGGCACGAAAGCGUGGGGGAUCAAACAGG